rnacentral:rRNA from 1 species
CCAAUAGCGUAUAUUAAAGUUGUUGCAGUUAAAAAGCUCGUAGUUGAAUUUCGGAAUCUGUCCGUCGGUCGGGCUUCACUGUCCGUACUGGUGUGAUGGGUUUCUACCUUCUGAAUAACCGGCAUGUCAUUAAUUUGGUGCGCCGGGGAAGCAGAACUAUUACCUUGAAAAAAUUAGAGUGCUUAAAGCAGGCUAUCGCCUGAAUAGAUUAGCAUGGAAUAAUAAAAUAGGACGGCAUGGUUCUAUUUUGUUGGUUUCUAGGAUCACCGUAAUGAUUAAUAGGGAUAGUUGGGGGCAUUAGUAUUCAAUUGUCAGAGGUGAAAUUCUUGGAUUUAUUGAAGACUAACUUCUGCGAAAGCAUUUGCCAAGGAUGUUUUCACUAAUCAAGAACGAAAGUUAGGGGAUCGAAGACGAUCAGAUACCGUCGUAGUCUUAACCAUAAACUAUGCCGACUAGGGAUCGGACGAUGUUAAUUUUUUAAUGACUCGUUCGGCGCCUUACG